rnacentral:lncRNA from 1 species
UGGAGAGGUAGGGGGGGAGGAUAGAUGGAGAGGUAGGGGGGUGGUAGGAUAGAUGGAGAGGUAGGGGGGAGGAUAGAUGGAGAGGUAGGGGGGGAGGAUAGAUGGAGAGGUAGGGGGGAGGAUAGAUGGAGAGGUAGGGGGGAGGAUAGAUGGAGAGGUAGGGGGGAGGAUAGAUGGAGAGGUAGGGGGGAGGUAGGAUAGAUGGAGAGGUGGGGGGGAGGUAGGAUAGAUGGAGAGGUAGGGGGGAGGUAGGAUAGAUGGAGAGGUAGGGGGGAGGUAGGAUAGAUGGAGAGGUAGGGGGGAGGUAGGAUAGAUGGAGAGGUAGGGGGGAGGAUAGAUGGAGAGGUGGGGGGGAGGUAGGAUAGAUGGAGAGGUAGGGGGGGGAGGUAGGAUAGAUGGAGAGGUAGGGGGGAGGAUAGAUGGAGAGGUAGGGGGAGGAUAGAUGGAGAGGUAGGGGGGAGGUAGGAUAGAUGGAGAGGUAGGGGGGAGGAUAGAUGGAGAGGUAGGGGAGAGGUAGGAUAGAUGGAGAGGUAGGGGGGGAGGAUAGAUGGAGAGGUAGGGG